GUAGGACACGUGGGUCCACUAAAACCAUAUCAGGAAGAGCAGGCCUGAGAACUUGGCAAGCGUAUAGACUGGGGGAAGAACAACUCCUACAUCUGGAUCCUGUUAGGACAAGGACACCAAGCACCAUGACAACAGCGGCCUCACCGACCUGCUCUCUGACCACUCGGUGUGUGCACCAAGGAGCCAACAGGGAGGAAACUCCAGACUGUCUUGGGAGUUUCAGAUCCUCCUCUCUGGAUGCCUGUGAGAAGCAAGGUUGUUUCUCUUUAAGAACUGUGACAGCAGCCGGACAGGAGGACCUCAGGGAAUUCUGUGAAAGCGGGGCACCAGAGGCAUCAAGGACAGCACAAGAAAACCCACAGAAUCAACUAACUUGGGCUCAUAGGGGAUCUCGGAGACUGAAUGGACGACCAGGGAGCCUGCACGGGACUGACUUAGGCCCUCUGCAUGUGUAUUACAGCGAUGCAGUUUGGUCUUCACGAAGGACUCCUGACAGCGAGAGCAGAGGUUGUCUCUGACUCUAUUGUUGGCUAUUGGGGACCCUUUCCUCCUACUGGGUUGUACAACAGAAUGUAAAGAGGAGACAUGUUCUGUAUUGUUUUGGCUUGGAGAGCGAUUUCUUCCAUUACUAAACAUUUAACAUGCUUUUAUGAAGUCUAUUCACUAUGACUUUGGCAAUUAACAUUACUUCCAAAAACAAAACAAAACACCAGAAAGAUGUAUUUGCCAUAGAUUGAAGAGGUUCUUAAAGAUGUUAACAUAUCAGUUUACUUGUGAUGAGAAGUCACUUCGGAAUUUACGAAGGGGAAAUAGAGCAAAAGUGAGGCUAUUUAUUUUUUUAAAAUUAAAAGAAAAUUCUGUGUGCAUUUGUGUGGGCGGUGCAGGUAUGCAUGCAGUACUCUCAGCGGCCAGAAGGGGGCAGUUGUUACUCUGGAGCUGUAGUGAGCUACCCAAUGUGGGUACUGGGAACUAGUUGUGUGUUAGUUUAUCCACUAGUCUUUCUCUCCAGCCCUGCUACUUCCUUCUUAUUUCAGAUUCAGGGCGGUAGUGAUGAGGUUUGGAGCAAUUCCCUAGAUAAGAGUCAACAGCCCUAUGUUUCCGAUCAGAAGGGCCGGUGCUUCAGAGCUCUUCUUUGACGAGGGGAAGAAGACAGUGACCUGGGUGAACCUACAGUGCAAAUGUGGUAAACUGCUGGCUUAAUUGCUCUCACCGGAGACCUUGGCAACUGUGGAAAUCGGGCAUCAGCUGGUUAAAGUCUUCUUUCUACCACCACUUUCCUGAAGUGCACUUCUGGCUGCUGGCUGCUGGCUUCUUCCUUUGGUAACUGAGACCCCAGC